GAAAAGAAACCAACAGGGAUUGCCCUAGUAACGGCGAGUGAAGCGGCAAGAGCUCAAAUUUGAAAUCUGGCUCCUCCGGGGUCCGAGUUGUAAUUUGCAGAGGAUGCUUCGGGUGCGGUCCCCAUCUAAGUGCCCUGGAACGGGCCGUCAUAGAGGGUGAGAAUCCCGUCUGGGAUGGGCGGCCGUGCCCGUGUGAAGCUCCUUCGACGAGUCGAGUUGUUUGGGAAUGCAGCUCUAAAUGGGUGGUAAAUUUCAUCUAAAGCUAAAUAUUGGCCGGAGACCGAUAGCGCACAAGUAGAGUGAUCGAAAGAUGAAAAGCACUUUGAAAAGAGAGUUAAACAGCACGUGAAAUUGUUGAAAGGGAAGCGCUUGCGACCAGACUCGCCUGCGGGGGUUCAGCCGGUACUCGUACCGGUGUACUCCCCCGUGGGCGGGCCAGCGUCGGUUUGGGCGGCCGGUCAAAGGCCCCCGGAAUGUGUCGCCUCUCGGGGCGUCUUAUAGCCGGGGGUGCAAUGCGGCCAGCCUGGACCGAGGAACGCGCUUCGGCACGGACGCUGGCGUAAUGGUCGUAAGCGGCCCGUCUUGAAACACGGACCAAGGAGUCUAACAUCUACGCGAGUGUUCGGGUGUCAAACCCGUCCGCGCAGUGAAAGCGAACGGAGGUGGGAGCCUUUCGGGGUGCACCAUCGACCGAUCCUGAUGUCUUCGGAUGGAUUUGAGUAAGAGCGUAGCUGUUGGGACCCGAAAGAUGGUGAACUAUGCCUGAAUAGGGCGAAGCCAGAGGAAACUCUGGUGGAGGCUCGCAGCGGUUCUGACGUGCAAAUCGAUCGUCAAAUUUGGGUAUAGGGGCGAAAGACUAAUCGAACCAUCUGGUAGCUGGUC
rnacentral:rRNA from 2 species